rnacentral:rRNA from 1 species
CCUACGUGAGGCAGCAGUGAGGAAUAUUGGUCAAUGGACGAGAGUCUGAACCAGCCAAGUAGCGUGAAGGAUGACUGCACAAUGUAUUGUAAACUUCUUUUAUCAAGGAAUAAAACGAGGCACGUGUCCCUGUUUGCAUGUACUUUAUGAAAAAGGAUCGGCUAACUCCGUGCCAGCAGCCGCGGUAAUACGGAGGAUCCGAGCGUUAUCCGGAUUUAUUGGGUUUAAAGGGUGCGUAGGUGGGUUGUUAAGUCAGGUGUGAAAGUUUGGGGCUCAACCGUAGAAUGGCAAUUGAUACUGGCAGUCUUGAGUACAGUAGAGGUAGGCGGAAUGCGUGGUGUAGCGGUGAAAUGCUUAGAUAUCACGAAGAACCCCGAUUGCGAAGGCAGCUUACUA